rnacentral:rRNA from 1 species
CUGUGGAUCAGUGGCGAACGGGUGAGUAACACGUGAGCAACCUGCCCUUGACUCUGGGAUAAGCGCNGGAAACGGCGUCUAAUACCGGAUAUGAGCUGCGAUCGCAUGGUCAGCAGUUGGAAAGAUUUUUCGGUCUGGGAUGGGCUCACGGCCUAUCAGCUUGUUGGUGAGGUAAUGGCUCACCAAGGCGUCGACGGGUAGCCGGCCUGAGAGGGUGACCGGCCACACUGGGACUGAGACACGGCCCAGACUCCUACGGGAGGCAGCAGUGGGGAAUAUUGCACAAUGGGCGAAAGCCUGAUGCAGCAACGCCGCGUGAGGGAUGACGGCCUUCGGGUUGUAAACCUCUUUUAGCAGGGAAGAAGCGAAAGUGACGGUACCUGCAGAAAAAGCGCCGGCUAACUACGUGCCAGCAGCCGCGGUAAUACGUAGGGCGCAAGCGUUAUCCGGAAUUAUUGGGCGUAAAGAGCUCGUAGGCGGUUUGUCGCGUCUGCUGUGAAAUCCCGAGGCUCAACCUCGGGUCUGCAGUGGGUACGGGCAGACUAGAGUGCGGUAGGGGAGAUUGGAAUUCCUGGUGUAGCGGUGGAAUGCGCAGAUAUCAGGAGGAACACCGAUGGCGAAGGCAGAUCUCUGGGCCGUUACUGACGCUGAGGAGCGAAAG